AUUUAUGUAGUUUAUCAUAAAAUAUUACAUUUUCAUUGUAAAGAUAUUACUUUUCAUAAAUA
rnacentral:tRNA from 1 species